UUACAGGUGUGAGCCACCAUGCCCGGCCUUAGGAGGCUUUCUUAAGAAGCUAACUCUGAAUGUCAAAAGUGAUAUCCAAAGUCAAGGUGAUUCAAAUCACAGUGUUACAUCCUAGUCCAAGGGAGAAGGAUUAAACAAACAGAAGAUCCGACAAACCUCUAGAGGGUCUCAGGAUGCUAUCCUUGCCAAUGAUGCCACAGAAUGGCUUUCAAGAAGCAGCUUUAAUAUCUUACUUUUGAGUUGAAGGAUAUAAAGAUCUUCAAGACCUGAAGAAAGAUUUGGACAUUUUAUGAGAGGGCGCCAAAAAAAGUAAGAUACUGUUUUCGAGACAUAAAUCACAAUUCAGAGUAAAAGGCUAACCAGAAAACCCUGUUUUUUGUUGGAAAUCCUGUGAGUCCAAGGACGGGAGUGAUUGUGAAGCAAGAAUAAAUAACUGAGCUGUAACAUCAGUGUGAUCAGAUUCUUCCUUCAUCACUCUGGUGUUAGCUAUGCAAACACACAUCUCUCAACAAACAUCUCAACUUUGGACCUGCAAGGAACCAUGCUGUUUAUUUCUGUUUAGUGCUUUUACAGAAUUAUGAAGAGCAUCCUGCUUUCUGGGCAGGGCCAGGCCUAAAAUACGUGAAAACCCAAAGGCAACUGAAGAAACCAAAACUUUUACACAGAUGAAAAGAUGGAAAAUGCUGAAGAAAGGCCAUCUUUAAAUAGCCUGAUUGUGCUGAUACGAUUUUUUGGGUUCUUUAAGGAUCUGGAUGUCGAAAGUGAACUCUGUGCUGUGUAAAAUGUCAAAGUGCUCACCCUCUCCCACAAUCAAACAAAGAGAAUAUAGAAAAAGUGGCGCAAGAGUGUUGGUAAAAACACAAGGCCGUACAAUCAUUCGUCCAAGAGGGAACCAGAAAAUCAGCUUUGCCGGGCAAAUUGAGGCAAAGAAAAACAUGGGGAGGGAAAAUGCCACUACUAUUAAAAUUCAGCUGUAGGAGUGUAUGAAUUUGCCUGCUGUGCUUUCAGAAACUUCUUGCCUUUCUUUAGCUUUGUGUCUCUUUUAUCUGCCAUGCUGCCUUUAGUUUGAGGGAAGCCAUUCUUUUCUUUGUAAACAUCAUUUGGAACUUUCUUCCCUGGCCUGGUCUAAUAAUCACAUUUCUCACUUUCCUGUGUUCUCAUUGGAAUGGGGUGUUUAUUUGGUUUCUCAAAGACCCCCACCUUUUAAGAUGUGUAAUUCAAAAAUCAAAACUACUUCCUGGGGUUUUAGGUAUGUAUUUCUAGUUCUGAUGUGUCAAACUAGUCCAAUGUGUCUUGAGCUUCCAUGCUGGAAUGUCGCUUGACUCACUUCCAAACUGAAGUGCUUAAAAAAAUGUGAGGCACUACAACUAUUUUAAAUCUCUCUCUACACUGCACAUGGUGAUUUAAAAUAAUUGAAGCUCUUCAAAUUUUUAUAUGCUCUCCAAUUUGGAAGUGAUCAGUUCUGAGCAUGUGCAGUACACAAUGAUUUAAAGUUAUUAGAGUCCUUCAAAUUUAUCCUAAGUGUUUCAGCUUGAGAGUGAUAGGGGAGCCUGGACUUUGGCAGUCAAAAGGGAUUUAAAAUUAUUGUUAUGCUCAGAUGUUAUAGAGGGAUCGGAAUUCUGGAAACUUGUAUGUAUUGUUUAACUCACUGUUAAAAUGACUCUCUCUCUCUCUUUUUUUUUUUUUUUUUAGAAUCAAAAGAUAUUAUUAGCCCACUAGAAAAAGCAUUUAAAUAAACCACUUAAAAUGCACCUUAACAUGAUUGUACUUUCAAUGCCAUGGUUCCCACUGAUGACCUGAAUAGGAUCAUGAUUUUAAAGCCAAAUGCUCAAAUUUGGCAAGGAAAAGUGGUGUCAUCUUUUAGCCCAAGCACGAGAAAGAUAAGUAUUUAGUAACAAUACCUGAUGCAUUCUGGUGACAAUAUAUAGAGUCUGUAGUCUAUCCUCCUAAAUUCUACUGUUUUUGCUUUAAACCACAAGAGGCCUUUAGAACUAUACAUAGAUUAUCAUUUGCAAUGCAUAAAUUUGUUUUUUAUUUAAAUAUUUCAAAUAAAGUGCUUUUAUGAAAGAUUAUUUAACUUAAAAAUUCAUGUUAUAUUAUCUCUUAGAUGAAAUAUAUGCAUUCGUUUCUUUAGCUCUUUGUUUCGGUGAAUGUUGUACCAAAUGCAAAGGUACAUAUUUAUGAAAUGAACAAGAUAGAAUCCUCAGAUGAUUUACUUGGUCACUUGAUGGUUACUUAACAUUCCUCAGAUCUUUUACCAAAGAAUAUUCUCUGAGUGGGAACAUUUAAACUUUUGCUGAGUGCCCUAAUGCCAAGAUUCUAACAUGUAAGGUAGAUUUAUGGUUCAAAAGUUAAUAUUAUAUAAGAAGAAAUUCAGUCAUUAAGAAGUCAGCUAAAAUUCUUAGCAUGUUUUAUUUCUACCUUUGAAAGCCACAUGGACACUCUUUUACUUGAUUUAAAUGAAAGUGACAAAGGUGAAAUUCCAGCAUAUUUCUCAGUCACUUCCCUUCCUCAGUAAAUGUUUUCAUUUUGAUAAAAAUUAGGAUAAGUUGAUUAUGGAUUUUAUUUUAUUUUUUUUAACUGAAACCUGGAGUUAGAGUUUGAAUUAUUCUGGCACAAGAAAACCAUCUGAUCUUAUAAACUAGCUUUAUAGAUCUCCAUAUUUUUAUUAGAGCAGAAAUUUAACAGGAUUAGAAAUAGAAAAUGCUAAUAAUAGAAAAUAUGUUAUAUUUGGGAUUUCUGUAACUGUAGGGAUUUAGGGCCCUGAACUAUGAAAAAUCCCACAUUUGGUAUAGUAGUCAACCUUUGCCCUCAAAUUUAUUAUUAGUUUUUAAAGUUUGAAAAAUUUUCUUAGGCUUAUAUAUUUUUAGUGUCCACUAUUACUUUGCUCUGUUGUAGUGAAUUUUGACAGGCAGAAAAAAAGCUAAGUGAGUUUGUUGAAUUAUUUGUGGCUGUGCUAAAUUAAGAACAUGUGAGUGGAGUUCUGUUAUGCUAUUAAAUAAUUGAAUUAAGCCUUAUUUAGGUCACAGGUAGAAUGAGCAAGUGUUUGCUGAACACAUAAGAAUACCUGGAAAUUGCCUAGUCCCAAAGCAUGGUUACAACAAAAUAAAGUUCUUGCUUUUAGCUGUAUCAGUUUUGGAGUCCUUGGGAACUGAAAAGGUUAUUUGGACAGACUAACAUACCAUUUGUGCUUAAACUCUAAAUCUUUCAGUAGUGUUAGCUCAGUAAACCAAUUCAAACAAACAUCUGAUACGUAUUGAUACACCUUUUAAAAUAAAGAAUGUCAUUAUUCCAUAUUUUAGUAUUGCUUGCAGGAACAGUUGCUAUUGUUUUUGAAAUAACAAGAACAUUAGUUACCAUUAAAAAAGAACACACAAAAUGUAUAACCCUUGGCCUUAAGAGAUUGUUACAGAGGUUUCUCAGGUUAGAACUCACUGUCCUUUUCAAUUACUUUGCAUUUUUAGAGAAGGAUCAGGUUAGUUAAUCCUAUCUUAUUACAUACAAAAUAAAUCCCAGGAAGAAAAGAAAAAGGAAUAAUUAAAAAAACUUGAAACAUAAAACUUGAAGGAUGAUAAGAAUUAUAUAUGUUUGCUCUGGAGUUGUAGAAGAACUUGUAAUUAAAAAAAAUUCUAAGAGAAAUGAUUAAUAGAUCUGACUUCAUAAAAAUAAAAGGAGAAGCCACUUCUGUAUAUAAAAUAAAUACCAAAAUUGAAAUACAAAUAAGACAUAAAGAACAUUUCUAUAGAUAUUGUAGAUGAGUUAAUAUCUAUAACACAAAACCAUUUUAUCCACAUUUAUAUAAAAAUUAAUAUCUUAGAUGAUGAAAGGGAAAAAUAGUGAAAA